ACUGACGUUUACCUGCGGAAGCGAAUGUGUGUGGGUUAUGUUUUGUUUAUUAUAAAAUUCUGUUUGUUGUAUUUGGCACUACGCGUCGUUUUAUCCGAAUGUCUGUCUUUUGUGUAAUAACCCACACAUUAUAAAAUACAUCCCCGUAUUUCACGGCGCGUGCAACAUUUCGAUUUAACGAAUUCGAAAAGUAAAACAAACGAGUUUCGAAAUAAACUUAACUAUUUCCGAGCUGCACUGUGAAAUUAGAAGCUUCAAGCUGCAAUGGUGUCAGAGCACUCCUUGACUGCCGGUCCAUUGUCGUCGCCCUGCUGUCACCGCGAACGCUGCUAAGGACAGGCGAUGGAGCUGCAGCGACGCCGCUGUUAGACGGCCGCAGCCCGGGGCUCGAGCGCCCGCCGCCGCC